GCGCGCGCAGUAGCCGUGGGGCGACGCUUCCCGGGGCGCGCAGGCCGGCUCGGCGGCCUCGGGCGGGCUGCGCGGAAGAGCCAGUGCGCGGCGUCAGGGGCCCUCGGGCGCUGCGUGUGUCUGGGGCGGGAGUAGAAGGUGCCGUGGACGCCAAGGGCCGGCGCACCAGCGCGCUCCCUCCCUCUGAGCAGGAACAAUGAAGGUCUCCUCCUGCCCCGCAGGGGUUGGAGGCCAAGCUCAAGCUGCUCCCUCGAGGCUUUUGACAACAGGCCGCUCUGGAAUCCUGGCCCCUUUGCGCUAGGUUUGAGGCACCCUGGCUGCCCUCCUUUAAAAGCUCUAUAGCCUCAGGUUGCAGACACGGAACAGCCAGCCAGCAGAACAGAUACACACCACUUAACCACAGACUAAUACCUGCUCCUUGCAGGCACAAAGGCAGUGUCAGAUGCUCCGGAUACACUUUACGAACUGCCUGCAAACAGAAAUCAAACACACACAGCAUACACAAAUGCCUACUACAAACAGAGGGGCUCAGCCCUUCCUCCUUCCGUCUGCACCAGAAAGUUAGUAGCUGUAUUACAGACAAGCUGCAAGGCUGGCAAGCCACUAGUGCAGAUCCAAGGCCCUGUGUCUGUCAUGUGCAACAAAAUACACUGCACAUUCAUGGAGAGACAGACUGAGCUCUUCAGAGAGAAGAGCAUCACAUCCUGCUGGUUGUUAUUCCUUGUGCCCUUUCAAACUGGGUUCAAAACACACAGUUUAAAAUGAAUCCAUGGGAUACCAAAACAGGCCAUUUCCCCAACUACCCAAACAUUGGAGAGAGCAACCCUGGCUUCUACCUUGUAUCCAGGCUGCUGUGUGUUUUUUUCCAGACUGGUGCUCAGUGUUUUACAGACCUUUUGAAACAAAGUAAAUGCCACUUGGUAGCAAAGGUGCCUGAUUCUGUUGGUGCCUCACCCCCAAUAUUUAGGUGGAUAUGCCUGAGAGUACUUUGUUAAUAUUCUGUGAGUCAAAUGGAAUGUGCUUUAAAAGGUUACAUCUUACCAUUGGGCAGUCGGAGUGAGUCCCAACAGUUUGGUUUAUUUGUUAAAGAUUCCCCCCAAGUUUAUCAAAUUUGCCUCUUGUCCCUUUUAAAUGACAGCUUUUACAAGCAAAUACUAUGGAUCAAUUUAGGGCCCAAUCCUUCCAAGUGCUGAGUGCCCUCAAUUCCCAUUUAUAUCAGCACUGCCAAGGGCCUAAGGGGCAAACUGGUGCAAGUAUUUAAAGAAGAAAAGCCUGACAUGUUUGAAAGGGUGAAAACUUUCAAACGUGUUUAAAAGGUCAAAUCAUUUCUACAGCAUUUUAACUCCAUAUGAUAUUUAAAAACUUUUGCCUGGCCGUUUUAAGAUGUGCAGGUGGGACAGAACUACAAAGAACUACAACCCUCCAUUUGUAGUGAAGAGGGGAAAAACUUGCUUGCCUGAGCCUGAUUGCACCAUUUUACUGCUAACUCAACCAUUUUCCAUGUUCUUAAAAACCGUAAAGACAUUCUCUUCGCAGCAGAAAAGCAUGUGGUUUUCCUGCCUGUGCCUUUGAAAUGACUUAGGGACUCUGGAAAAUUAGGCGAUUCAUACUGCUUAUAGAAAGUAACAGUUUAUUAAGGUAGUUCAUCCUCAUGACAUAUGGGGGGGAGGGGGGAGAAAUCCCACAACUGUUAAGUAAACUGCUGCAUGACAACACAAGAAUGAGCAUUUGCCUUAACUUUCUGUUGCACGCAAUGAGAUACCUUGGAAACAGCUGAAAGGGUGAAUAUU